rnacentral:tRNA from 1 species
GGGGUUGUGGCUCAGUGGUAGAACACUCGCCUAGCAUGUGAGGCACUGGGUUCGAUUCCCAAUACCACA